GGAAAAUUUGGUAUUUUCAAGUGCUAAAACUUUUCAGUCAAAUGCAAAAUUGAUUGAUUUGAAAGUUUUUUUCCAGUUUAAAAUUGUAAUUUUCACAAUGAAAUAUUUCAGAACAAGAUUUUCAAAAUAAUCAAACGAACUUCUACAUUUCACAUUUUUGGCAACACUGACAGAAAAAAAAUGGAAAAAUGGCAUCCCACAACUAUCUGUCAAUGACAGUUGAAAAAAAAUAAUGUAAAUAGUGAAAUCGGAUGUGAAACUGUUUGUUUCUAAGGAAAUUUUUAAACUCGGGUCCGGUUUUAUUUGGCAUAUCCGCGGAGUUUCCUUAACUUAUGCGAAUCGUAAAAUCAGCCGUUGCAACCACUGUAUCCCGUGCGUGAGAUGAGUCACCAGCUUCCGGGAAGUCAAACACUCGUUGGUCAAAUGAAACUCACAACAAUUGGGAACAACCGCGCGAGAGCUUGUUGACGAGGACAGAGUCAAGGAACUCACCGAUGUCUACGAAUUUCUGGGCAAACGAAAGGAAAGCAACAGUUUACUUUGAUUACGUACAUACCGCUUACAGAAACAUUAACAGCGAGCGUCCUAAAGCACCCUUUAUCAUUUGGACAACCGAUGCUACUAGCGUACUAAUCGUCUAUGGUUACGACCCCGUGAUUACCGGGUACAAGACCAGGACAUCGGUGGCAGUGAUGGCGCGGCGAUGGCAUUUUAUGUAUAACAACCCAGACCAACAGUGUAUGUACAACAACCCAGACCCAACGUCGAGCACGACAAGUUGAUAAACGAGGCAGUAUAACUCGCGAUAUAAUCAAGGCAAAUGGAGGGUCUCACCUACGAUUGUAAAUUACUGCUUAUCGUACAAAGGGACCAUCCCAGCUAACUGGAACGAUCAACAAGACAAGUGAGUAAAAAGUACUUAAAGGUGUGCUAGAUCUAUCGAAAAUCCAAUGGUGUAAAACUAGAUACGAAUCUGUCUGUUCUGUUCUUUUGGGGACACGCUUCAAAACUACAUCGAAGCGUUUCAAACCGGAGUUUGUCGUGAAGCAUUCCUCUUCCUCCAGAUCCAGUCGUUCAACUGCCUCAUGCAGCAAUCGUAAACGGGAACCAGAACGAGAUAGCGAUCGGAUCCAUGCCUGGCUCUUGCAGUUCAAGAUUAGUUUCUUCCACUGGAACAGUGAUUGUUAUCACUCAAAAUGUGCCACCAAUAUAGGGAAUUUCGAAUGUGUAAAUUACUGGAAGAGAAUGGAAGAAUACGUCAAAUCGUUUGUCGAAAGAUUCCCGCGAUCGUCGAGUUGCUGAACGCAACCGACAACAUGAAAGGAAAAUCAAUUUUCAAUUAACCAAUUGUGUCAAUAAACUGAAUAUUAUUAUUAUUUUGUUUUUAUUAUUGAUGAAACGAAUGUAAAAAACAAUAAAAAUACAUUAUUGAUGUUGACAAGAAAGAUUAUUCAACGCAAAAAUAAAAUAAACUUUCAUUUUGAAAACAUAGUGUUUAAUAUGAGAUUGGUAGUAGUCA